rnacentral:rRNA from 1 species
UACGUAGGGCGCAAGCGUUGUCCGGAAUUAUUGGGCGUAAAGAGCUCGUAGGCGGCUUGUCGCGUCGGUUGUGAAAGCCCGGGGCUUAACCCCGGGUCUGCAGUCGAUACGGGCAGGCUAGAGUUCGGUAGGGGAGAUCGGAAUUCCUGGUGUAGCGGUGGAAAUGCGCAGAUAUCAGGAGGAACACCGGUGGCGAAGGCGGAUCUCUGGGCCGAUACUGACGCUGAGGAGCGAAAGCGUGGGGGAGCGAACAGG